rnacentral:rRNA from 1 species
UACGUAGGGUGCGAGCGUUGUCCGGAAUUACUGGGCGUAAAGAGCUCGUAGGUGGUUUGUCGCGUUGUUCGUGAAAACCGGGGGCUUAACCCUCGGCGUGCGGGCGAUACGGGCAGACUUGAGUACUGCAGGGGAGACUGGAAUUCCUGGUGUAGCGGUGGAAUGCGCAGAUAUCAGGAGGAACACCAGUGGCGAAGGCGAGUCCCUGGACAACACCUGACACUGAGGCACGAAAGCUAGGGGAGCAAACGGG